rnacentral:rRNA from 1 species
UACGUAGGGCGCAAGCGUUGUCCGGAAUUAUUGGGCGUAAAGAGCUCGUAGGCGGUCUGUUACGUCCGCUGUGAAAACCCAGGGCUUAACCCUGGGCUUGCAGUGGAUACGGGUAGACUAGAGGCAGGUAGGGGAGAAUGGAAUUCCACGUGUAGCGGUGAAAUGCGUAGAGAUGUGGAGGAACACCAGUGGCGAAGGCGACUCUUUGGCCUGUAACUGACGCUGAGGCGCGAAAGCGUGGGGAGCAAACAGG